rnacentral:rRNA from 1 species
AUUGAACGCUGGCGGCAUGCCUUACACAUGCAAGUCGAACGGUAACGGGCCUUCGGGUGCCGACGAGUGGCGAACGGGUGAGUAAUAUAUCGGAACGUACCUUUCAGUGGGGGAUAACGUAGCGAAAGUUACGCUAAUACCGCAUAUUCUGUGCGCAGGAAAGCAGGGGACCUUCGGGCCUUGCGCUGAUUGAGCGGCCGAUAUCAGAUUAGCUCGUUGGUGAGGUAAAGGCUCACCAAGGCGACGAUCUGUAGCGGGUCUGAGAGGAUGAUCCGCCACACUGGAACUGGGACACGGUCCAGACUCCGACGGGAGGCAGCAGUGCGGAAUUUUGGACAAUGGGGGCAACCCUGAACCAGCCAUGCCGCGUGAGUGAAGAAGGCCUUCGGGUUGUAAAGCUCUUUCGGCCGGGAAGAAAUCGUAUGGGCUAAUACCCUGUGCGGAUGACGGUACCGGCAUAAGAAGCACCGGCUAACUACGUGCCAGCCGCCGCAGUAAAAC